GCGACCAUGAACUAUUGAUUUGCAUGAGUAGAAAUUUUGCCAGGUGUACUGUAAGUGUAUUCUUUGUUUGUGGACAAUACUGCUAUUUGAUUUUUUGUUAAAGGAUAGGUAUUCCAACUCCCCUUCUUAUUCUGAAUUUUUAGAAAUGCAUUCUUUUACUCCACGGUCCACGCUCAUACUGAUAUGCUCCUCACUACCUGAUGUGCUCAUAGGCAAGAAAUGUGUAGUUAGUUGACAGGUUCAUCUGAGAACCUGCCACUCCCAUUUGUUAUAUCUUUGGCAAGCAACCAUCGUUGGAAAUAUUUUACAUCAUACGAAGUGCAAAGUGAAGUAGACAAGCAGAACUUGUGGUUUAUUUUAUGUACAUCUGCUCAAAAUCAAAGUGAAGUACAGCAGUUGCUGAUGAGUGCAGCACCUGUUGUUUUCUUCACAGAGAAAUUGAGCUGGACAGGACUUUAAAGAGAGACUGAGAUUACUCCUUUAACAUAUGAGUGGAAUUGCUCUUGAAUUCUGACCAAUAUUUUAGGAUGUAAUCCACUCGCAUUGUGGUUGCCUAGAUGAUAAUUCCCCAAGAAGCUUCCUACUACAGUGAGU